rnacentral:rRNA from 1 species
ACGUCAAGUCCUCAUGGCCCUUACGGGCUGGGCUACACACGUGCUACAAUGGCGGUGACAAUGGGCAGCGAAGGGGCGACCUGGAGCUAAUCCCAAAAAGCCGUCUCAGUUCAGAUUGCACUCUGCAACUCGAGUGCAUGAAGGCGGAAUCGCUAGUAAUCGUGGAUCAGAACGCCACGGUGAAUACGUUCCCGGGCCUU